AGCAGUAGGGCGCAGUGGUAGCGCGCGGGGCCCAUAUGUCGUCUCACAGUAGUGUGUCCCCCCCGAGGUCACUUGAUCGAAACAAGUUGCUGCCA